ensembl:lncRNA
GCUCAAUGCCUGUUUACCAGGUUGCCAUGUGGGCACAUAUGCAUAAAAAUGGGUGCUUGGGAAACAGUAGAGAAAGUGAUACUUAGGAUUGCACAACAUUAAGUAACCAUGAACAUAAGGUGGCACAAAGUCUGGGGCUUUGAUGUGUUGGUUCAGGCCCACCAUAAGCGAUAGAUGGCCACACAAACACUGGAGUGUUACUUAAUUCUUUGUAAAGGAGAUACCAUCACAUCUCGUUGACCAUCAGAAUGCAAAUCCGUGUAACUUUGACAAGAACAAACUGUAUAACUCAAGAAGAUAUAAAAAAGUAACUACAUUUGGUAAUCAAUCAGGAGAGAUUUGCUACAACGAUAUGGCAUCUAUAGCAAGAUACUAUAACACGAGUGUCUCAUACCAUCCCUUCCUGCAUUUUUGGAAAUCAGAUCUUCAAUUCUAGGAUGAAAAACAUGUUAAAACCUUGAAAUAUUGAAUAAGCACAAAACCGUUACGGUCUACAGUGCAAAAACACGGAUGUUAAUGAGAUACAAUAGAUCAAGAAAGAAAGACUUUGUAGAAGCUGUGCUCCACCAUCAAAGAAUGCGUAUUGUCAUCAUUAAAAUGUCAUAUACUUCAAACCUAACAGUAAAGCUUCUUACCAUGAAUACAGAGGUGUUCAUCUUUUGUUAUGGGAUGACUUGUUGAAGUGGAUGAAGUUAUCAUUCUGGCUAGAAGAAACAGCUGUCUUUCAUUUUGCACAUAGAAUAUAUCUAUAGAGAGAACAAUGAGACUGUUUUACUUGACCAUUCAAUUUGGCCUGGAAACAGUGCCGAAGUCCUUUGUGUAUCUAUGAAAUGGUUAUCUCAACCUCUGGAAAGAUUUUUUUUUGUGAGAAUGAUAUGAAGUUUUCCCACUUAAUAUUUUUUCGGGGUUACGGAGUUUUCCAAGUAAAGAAGUUAAAUGAAUUGGAUGCAAAACAUACAAGUGCAUUUUGCCUGGUAUCUAUAGCCUGUUGUCUGAAAGAUCCUAUGUGUUUGACAUAAUAGACAAUGAACUUCCUUCUGCUUCCAGUUACACUCAUAUACGUCUGGAGUAACACCUUCGGAAUCUGAGAUGAGUUCUGCCUCAAUCUCUCUCUUUUUAGAUGCUGGACAAAGGCCAGUCUUUUACUUUGAAUAACUGCCUCUAAUGUUGGGAUUCUAUUCAUAAGUAACCCAUGAGAGGUGCAUUAAAAAACAGAGCUCUAAAUUUAGGGUAACAGUGGCCAUUUAAAGUCUAUGCUACAUAAAUCUAAAGACUAACCCAUACAUUUCAGGAAAUAUAUUUCUGUGUCCCAUGCCUGCAGCUGAAGAGCAGACAUGCCCACACAGGCUUUGCAGCUUGCAGACAGGCUGGAAUGAGAGGCUGUUGCAUGUUCACGAGAGGCAGGAUCCCUCUGCUAUUCCCUUUUCACGUGUUUUCUGCUUAUCUGGUUUUAAUAUUUCCUUAAAAAAAUUAAGAACUACAUCCCAGCCCCAUUAUCAUAAGCAUUUGGAGCUUCAGAAGGCCUUGCAAGCUGUUGUAGUGAUUGCGUGUUACAUCAUUCAUUCAUCCUCUUGAGAAAUGACACUGCCGCAGUUUUUCACUCAUCUCUUUGGUUAAGUGCUUUUGUAAUUUGUAUUAAACUGUAAACCAACUUCAUAAAAUAACCCAGUUUAAAAUGAAGCAAAAAAAGUGUUUUGGAGUUAUCAUUUUCCUAUCAAAUUAUUUCACGUUCUGUAACAAAUGUAGUUAAAUUAUUAUAAGAUCUUUGCUUUGCAACUAAUUAUUUGAAAAACAUCAGUGAUGUAGAAAUACGUAAGUCUAAAAUUGUGCCAUACAAAACUGACUACACAGGGACUGAACAAAAUGGCUUGUACUGAGAUGGAAACAUCCUUCCAGUCUUUCAUAUGAAGUUGUAGAGUGUAUAAAUAUGCUCAGUUUCUCUCCAUAAUCUUUUUCUUUUUUUUUUUGAGAAAUUCACAUCAGCAACAUUUUCUGACUGCAUGAGUUUUGAAUUAUUUUAUAUUUUGUUAGGAAUACUUCCUGUCUUUACUUGCAUACUAAGUCUUAAAUGUAUUUUCUCGCAUUCGAGAGACAAGUGUAUAGUAACUGCAUCUCUGCCUACUUAACAACUCGUGUAAUGUGUUUCUCAUUUCAACAAUUCCCACCACUCAGCUCACAGUUUCAUUAAUUUUUCAGGUGAAGUUUUGCUGAUAUAUGGUUAAGAGAUUGAAAACAUUGAAAUCCAUUAAACUUUCUUUCUCUGCUACAAGCUGUUCUUAGAGUAAUUUGCUUAGUGUUAAUACAACAUCACUCUACACCACUCUGUCAAAAACUGAACUAAAAAUUCACACUUCUGAAGACACGAGUUAGUAAAUCAGUUUUGCACUAGCUCAGGUAGAAUUUCCCAAUAAUAAACCUAUCACUAAUAUUAAGAAUGACAUGGAUAAAAUUAUAUAUAGUGGUUAAUAUGAAAACACACUGAGUUUCUGUUUCGGGGAGAAGGGCAAGAGGUAAGAUAAUAAAACUCGAAAUGCUAUUUUUUUAAUUACAAAAAAAAAAAAAAAAAAAAAAAGGAAAAUAAUAUUUUUUUCAGCAUCCAAAUUGUAUUAAACUUAGGUAUGACAAAAUCCAAAGUCCUGAUGGUAGUGCUCAAGUCACAGACAGGAUACCUAGAUAUCUGGCCAGUUGGCCUGGCUUGGCCUGCAAUCAUUUACAUGGGAUUAGAAAUCAUUCCAACUUUAAAUAGUAUGUUUUAAAAUGUAACUUUGUGUAUAGAUUAUUUUCUAUGAAGUAAACAGUGUCAUCAAUAUUGACUAGACUUAGAGUUACUAGGCGAAGUCCUGACAUCCCUACAUACUUUGAUUCAGUUUGAAGGAAUUUAAGAAAGUUUUAGCUCGAAAGAAUUGUCUUAAACUUUAAACUACUCUAUGCUUGUGGGUAAAUCUCUCUGGAGUAAAACAAAGUCUUUAAUUUACUUCGUUAUGCACUAGAUGUGGCCCAAAGGGCUGAAAAAAUUGAAACAUAAGAGUAGGCCUUUAUUUGAGAUUGUGCAUGCACCUGCUUGGAUAACCAAGUUAUCCGAACUUAAGAAGGCACGAGUUGUUAGAAUACUAUCAAAUAGCAAAGAACUUGCAAAUCAGCUGUUCAUUCUGUGCUAGCUAGUGCCUGUAGGGAACAGAGAAAUACCUAGAUGAAAUAUUUGAGUACGAAUUAUACAUAUGGCAUAAGGGGAGGGCUGAUCUUUCUGAUGACAGUGAAGGUUCUGCUCUUCAGAGUUCCUAAGCCUUGAAAAAUAAUUUGUUGGAAGGACUUCCAGGUUUUGGUGUCUGUAGUGCUUGUGAUGGGGAAAAAAAUCCAGUGCAUUUAAUAAAAAAAAAAUUGACAAGAAGCCAUUUAACAAAGAAAUCAUGACAUGGGUAGUCACUAAACUGUUCAAUAUUGGAAAUAAUGUUUUUUUCUUUUCCCCUUCCAGAAUAAAUACAAUGGCUGAACGGCUAAUGUUGCAUGUGCACCUUGGCAAUAGGACAAAGAUUUUCCAGUGUACAAAAAACAGAAAGAAGGUGAGAAACCUGCUGUUUGGAUUUUUCAGAUGGAGAGCUGAUACACAAAGAGAAUAAAAUAAUUGACGAUGGUCACAUAAGCAGCAUGGAUAAGAAACGCAGUUUCCAGGUUUCAGUCAGGCCACCUAGUCAUGUAAUCAGCUCCCAUACUUUGAAGGUCAAGCAGGUCAAAACAGGGAGGGAUAGACUCAAGUCCUUUAAAUUGAAGUGUUUACACUUCUCUUUAAAUAAAUAGAGAAUCUGUCUUAAAUUCCAUGGACUUGGAGCCAUAGUUUGUAAAGAGGUGAAUAAAAUUAUUUUUAAAAAAUAACAUAUUAAUGAAAAUAAAUUAUUUUAUAAUAUAUAGCUUACUGGGUAGAUUUGCAUGCAAUUACCUAGGUAAGAUAGAAGUUGAACCAGAGACCCUUUCCUUGUAUCUAAAUAAUAAGUAAGUCAUCCACUGUUUUACAGUGAAAAACUGAAAAAUACU